CCGCCUGCCCAGUGACUAUAUGUUCAACGGCCGCGGUAUUCUGACCGUGCGAAGGUAGCGUAAUCACUUGUCUUUUAAAUAAAGACUGGUAUGAAUGGCCUCACGAGAGCCUUACUGUCUCCCUUAUUUAAUCAGUGAAACUGAUCUUCCCGUGCAGAAGCGGGAAUUUUAUCAUAAGACGAGAAGACCCCAUGGAGCUUAAAACCUAAAAUUACCUGCUCAAACAUAUUUCCUACGGGACCACCCUUUAGCCUUGCAGAAAAUAAUUUAAGUUUUCGGUUGGGGUGACCACGGAGAAAAAUAAAUCCUCCUUGAUGAAUAAUUAAUUUAAACCACGAGCCACUGCUCUAAGUAUUAGAACUUCUAACUAAAUUGAUCCAAUAAUUUUGAUCAACGGACCAAGUUACCCUGGGGAUAACAGCGCAAUCUAUUUCAAGAGUCCAUAUCGACAAAUGGGUUUACGACCUCGAUGUUGGAUCAGGGUAUCCCAGUGGUGCAGCCGCUACUAAAGGUUCGUUUGUUCAACGAUUAAAACCCU
rnacentral:rRNA from 1 species